CUUGGCUCCUGGCGUCGGCGGUAGUCUGUGUGUGGCCUGCCCCUCACUGCUUCCUCUGUGGGGACUUGGAGGUGACAGGGACCUGCGGCAGUGUGGUGCCAUGAAGGGGCAUGCAGCAGUACUAGCAGGAGGAGAUGGUCCAGCCAGUCCAGCCGCACUCACCUUUUUUACCACUCUCUGACGCUGUUGCCCGACGUCAUGAUCCAACAAAAAACAGAAGAAGGGACCCACUGCUGCCGGAGAAGAAAGGGGACCCGCUUUUCCUGUCACUGAUGAGAAGGGGGACCCACUACUGCCCGAGUUGCCAUAGCAACAUUGUUUGGUGGGUGUGCACAUUGACUUUAACUGAUGAUGUCAUCAGACACGGCCGCCGGACCGGUGCGUGGUCCCGCUCCCGGAGCUGGCGUCCUUCACUGGGGUGUUCUCUACGGUAUAAAGGUAUG